rnacentral:rRNA from 1 species
GACGAACGCUGGCGGCGUGCCUAAUACAUGCAAGUAGAACGCUGAAGGAGGAGCUUGCUUCUCUGGAUGAGUUGCGAACGGGUGAGUAACGCGUAGGUAACCUGCCUGGUAGCGGGGGAUAACUAUUGGAAACGAUAGCUAAUACCGCAUAAUAGCAGUUGUUGCAUGACAACUGUUUGAAAGGUGCAAUUGCACCACUACCAGAUGGACCUGCGUUGUAUUAGCUAGUUGGUGGGGUAACGGCUCACCAAGGCGACGAUACAUAGCCGACCUGAGAGGGUGAUCGGCCACACUGGGACUGAGACACGGCCCAGACUCCUACGGGAGGCAGCAGUAGGGAAUCUUCGGCAAUGGACGGAAGUCUGACCGAGCAACGCCGCGUGAGUGAAGAAGGUUGUCGGAUCGUAAAGCUCUGUUGUAAGAGAAGAACGAGUGUGAGAGUGGAAAGUUCACACUGUGACGGUAGCCUACCAGAAAGGGACGGCUAACUACGUG